rnacentral:lncRNA from 1 species
UCCAGUUCCGUGUUGAGUCGGUCAGAGGGCGCCCCCUUGUGUUGGUGUUCAACUCAAUAGAAAGCCUUUUCCGUGCUUCAGUGUGAUCUGCUUUGGUACAGCACGCUAAGCUGUCCCACCCUUCAGAUCCAGGCAGUCUAAGUAUGGAGAAGGGGAUCCGGUGGAAGAAAACAGAGACCAAGACGGUACCUGUCCUACUUCUUAGGUGUAUCACGUGAACACCAAGCUUCACAUUUACUACAGAUGUGUAGAGCUUCUAAGUCUAGCUCCUGCAUGUUCCCUGGUUGGUGACUCAAUCCUGUGAGCCCCCAGCCCCUGCUGAGGCCCAGAUCCCCACCCCACUAUUUUUCAAGAGGAGGCAGCACCAACAAGUUAUGACUGCACUAAAUUACCAUCAACAAUGGAAUUGAUUUUUCUCCAAGGGAAGAAUAAUUAUCAUAAAACAUUAUUUGUUCUAAUAAUGACUACUGGCCUUCAGAAGCAAAUUCAAUAAAAUUGUGUGUGUG